UUCCGGAUCUCUUUGAAAACAAAUUAUUUUACCAAUACGACCACAAUGAAAGCCCAACAAAUUGCCACAUCUUUAACAUUGAAAAAUAUGCGAAAAUUGUUAAUACUUUAAGAGGAUGAAAUAAUUUAUUAUCUUUAUUCAAACAAACAAGACAUUCACAAAAACACACACAAUCAUUUACAUUUUUUCUCCUAUAACAUCAACUUUACUUUAUAUUUACAUUUCAAGUGAAUUUACUAUGUUACGACUAUCAGCUUUCUAUUAUAUUUUUAUUGAAUCAA
rnacentral:lncRNA from 1 species